GACGAACGCUGGCGGCGUGCCUAAUACAUGCAAGUUGAGCGAUGAAGAUUGGUGCUUGCACCAAUUUGAAGAGCAGCGAACGGGUGAGUAACGCGUGGGGAAUCUGCCUUUGAGCGGGGGACAACAUUUGGAAACGAAUGCUAAUACCGCAUAACAACUUUAAACAUAAGUUUUAAGUUUGAAAGAUGCAAUUGCGUCACUCAAAGAUGAUCCCGCGUUGUAUUAGCUAGUUGGUGAGGUAAAGGCUCACCAAGGCGAUGAUACAUAGCCGACCUGAGAGGGUGAUCGGCCACAUUGGGACUGAGACACGGCCCAAACUCCUACGGGAGGCAGCAGUAGGGAAUCUUCGGCAAUGGACGAAAGUCUGACCGAGCAACGCCGCGUGAGUGAAGAAGGUUUUCGGAUCGUAAAACUCUGUUGGUAGAGAAGAACGUUGGUGAGAGUGGAAAGCUCAUCAAGUGACGGUAACUACCCAGAAAGGGACGGCUAACUACGUG
rnacentral:rRNA from 1 species